rnacentral:tRNA from 1 species
UGAUAUGGCUCAGUCGGUAGAGCGUCGCCUUGGUAAGGCGGAGGUCACGGGUUCAAUUCCCGUUAUCA